rnacentral:rRNA from 1 species
GAUGAACGCUAGCUACAGGCUUAACACAUGCAAGUCGAGGGGCAGCAUGGUCUUAGCUUGCUAAGGCCGAUGGCGACCGGCGCACGGGUGAGUAACACGUAUCCAACCUGCCGUCUACUCUUGGACAGCCUUCUGAAAGGAAGAUUAAUACAAGAUGGCAUCAUGAGUCCGCAUGUUCACAUGAUUAAAGGUAUUCCGGUAGACGAUGGGGAUGCGUUCCAUUAGAUAGUAGGCGGGGUAACGGCCCACCUAGUCUUCGAUGGAUAGGGGUUCUGAGAGGAAGGUCCCCCACAUUGGAACUGAGACACGGUCCAAACUCCUACGGGAGGCAGCAGUGAGGAAUAUUGGUCAAUGGGCGCAGGCCUGAACCAGCCAAGUAGCGUGAAGGAUGACUGCCCUAUGGGUUGUAAACUUCUUUUAUAAAGGAAUAAAGUCGGGUAGGGAUACCCGUUUGCAUGUACUUUAUGAAUAAGGAUCGGCUAACUCCGUG